rnacentral:rRNA from 1 species
AUGGGGGAGGUGAUGGAGAUGACGGAGGUGCGGCAGUCGGUGAGCGACCUCCCCGUACAGGACCCUCCCGGGGAGGAGUUCUCGGCCGCCGACCUCAGGUGGGUCAAGUACGCGAGCUCCGAGCACCACUGCGACGACGUCGCGCUCAUCCCCUACGACCGGAUGGAGGCCUUCAUCAGCGGCGAGUGCAACAACCCCGAGUACCCCACCAGGUUCCACAUCGAGCGCGGCCGCAAGCGCGAAAGGGGCACCCUCAAGGAGGUCAGGAGCGACGACUACCUCCUCUACAGAAUGUAUUGGUGUUCGUUUGGCCCUGAAAAUUAUGGGGAGGGAGGGACGAUCUUGCCUAGCAGAAGGUACAGGCUUAACACAAGAAAUCGUGCAGCUCGCCCGCAGUCGAUGCGAGGUUGCACCUGCCAUUUCGCAAUCAAGCGGUUAUACGCUCGCCCUUCGCUGGCUCUCAUUAUCUACCAUGAGAGGCGCCAUGUCAACAAGUCUGGUUUUGUAUGCCAUGGACCCCUGGACCGGGACGCUAUUGGUCCUGGUGCCAGGAAAGUGCCGUAUGUUGGGAGCGAGAUUCAGCAGCAGACCAUGUCGUUGAUCUAUCUCGGCGUCCCUGAGGAGAACAUCCUGCAGACACAUAUAGAAGGGAUCCAACGUUACUGUGGCUCGGAUGCAAAGGUCGAUAGCCUUGCCUCGCAGUAUGUCCACAAGCUUGGGAUGAUCAUCAAGAGGUCUACGCAUGAGCUGGAUCUAGAUGACCAAGCUAGCAUCAGGAUGUGGGUUGAUAGGAACAAGAAGUCAGUGUUUUUCCACCAGGACUCAACCGAGACAGAUGCCUUUGUACUAGGGAUCCAGACAGAAUGGCAACUGCAGCAGAUGAUCCGCUUUGGUCACCAGAAUAUUUUGGCAUCUCAUUCCUCAUUUGGUGUAAGCAAGCUGAAGUACCCCUUGCACACAAUUCUUGUAUUCGAUUCAAGACAACAGGCUCUACCUGUUGCAUGGGUUAUAACCCGAUCUGUUACCAAGCAUGACACUUCGAGAUGGAUGAAAGCACUUACUAGUAGAAUACAUUCUGUUGAUUCCAACUGGAGGAUUGGUGGAUUUAUAAUUGAUGAUCCAACCUCAGAGCUGGACCCAAUCAGGAAUGUAUUUUCCUGCCCGAUUUUCUUUUCUUUAUGGCACAUAAGGAGAACAUGGCUUAAAAAUAUAAUCAAGAAAUGCAGCAAUACUGAGGUGCAACGGGAAAUAUUUACACAACUAGGAAAAUUUAUGUACAGUAUCUGGAGUGAGAAAAAUCCCAUGGAUGUCCUGGAGCAAUUGUUUCAAGACUUUGUUGACCAAACCACCUUCAUCCAGUAUUUCAAGUCAUUUUGGGUUCCCAAAUUGGAGAUGUGGAUUGAUUCCAUCAGAAAUUUGCCCCUGGCAAGUCAGGAAUCCUGUGGUGCUAUUGAGGGUUACCAUCUAAAGCUCAAGCUUAAAGCAUAUGAUGAUUCACAGCUUGAUGCUCUUCAACGUGUGGAUUGGUUGGUGCACAAGCUGACAACAGAGCUGCAUUCUGGCUACUGGCUCAACCUAUAUGCAGAUGAGAGUGGUUCAUUUCCCGAGGUGAAAGCAGAGUACAUUGCAUCCACUUCAUGGCAAAGGGCUCUGCACAUACCUGAUGAGGCUGUUCUAUUUGAUCACAAAGAACCUCUUUCAGCCAAGGUGGCAAGCCAGAAGGAUGCUAGUCAAAUGCGGACUGUAUGGAAUGUUGGGUCCGAAUUCUCUCUGUGCAGUUGUUCGUGGUCAAUGCAGGGUAACCUAUGUAAGCACGUCAUAAAGGUUAACAUGAUGUAUGCACCACGCAAGGAUGUCCAGCCCUCGCUAUCAUUUCAAUCGUUUCAGCGCGUCCUACUUGAUCUGUGGCAAAAACCACUGGAUGAUUCAUUCUCACUCGAUCUGUCAGUAGCAUGGGUUAUGCAAAUGCAGGAGAGGAUCCAAAAAGUGGCUGAGCUUGCUGCGUCUGAUGGUAUUGCCCAAGUUGCAGGCAAAUUGCCAAUUCAAUGGGCAAACAAGAGAGGGAGAAGAACAGCUAUUAGGCGCACCAGCCCCAUGUGCAUUCUUCCUCAUUCCAACGGCAGUGUGCAAAGAGAUUUGACUCUGAAGAGGAACAGAAAGAGGAGAAGGUUGUCCAACUUUUCAGGCUAA